rnacentral:rRNA from 1 species
UACGUAGGGUCCGAGCGUUUGUCCGGAAUUACUGGGCGUAAAGAGCUCGUAGGUGGUUUGUCGCGUUGUUCGUGAAAACUCACAGCUUAACUGUGGGCGUGCGGGCGAUACGGGCAGACUUGAGUACUGCAGGGGAGACUGGAAUUCCUGGUGUAGCGGUGGAAUGCGCAGAUAUCAGGAGGAACACCGGUGGCGAAGGCGGGUCUCUGGGCAGUAACUGACGCUGAGGAGCGAAAGCGUGGGGAGCGAACAGG